rnacentral:rRNA from 1 species
UACAGAGGGUGCUAGCGUUGUUCGGAAUCAUUGGGCGGAAAGGGCGUGUAGGCGGUUUGUUAAGUCAUGUGUGAAAUCCCUCGGCUCAACCGGGGAACGACGCAUGAAACUGGCAAGCUAGAGUACCAAAGAGGGGGGUGGAAUUCCCGGUGUAGCGGUGAAUUGCGUAGAUAUCGGGAGGAACACCUGUGGCGAAAGCGGCUCACUGGACCACAACUGACGCUGAUGCGCGAAAGCGUGGGGAGCAAACAGG